GUUUGAAAUUCACUUCUUAAAGUUAUACGUGGAUGAUACUAUCGCAGCCAUACCGGAGUCGGAAGUAAAUAAUAUCUUAGAGUUAUUUAAUAGCUUUGACAAUAAUAUACAAUUUACCAUGGAAGUAGAAAAGGAUGAUAGUUUAUCUUUUCUAGAUGUGUUAGUCAAAAGAUCAAAUGAUAAAUUGAUAACUGAUUGGUUUGUCAAACCCAUUAGUUCAGGUCGGCUAUUAAAUUGGAAUUCAAAUCAUCCUCGGUCUCAGAAGAUAGGUAUGAUAAAAGGUUUACUUGAUAGAAUGACAAAGUUAAGUAGUAGUGAUUUUUAUGAAAUUAAUUUUAGUAAGAUUCGUAACAUAUUGUUGAAUAAUAAUUAUGAAAUACCAUUAGUAGACAGUGUUAUAAAUAAAUUUAAAGAGAAUUUAAAUAAUAAACCAAGGAGUUUGGUCAACUCAAAUAAUAAUAACAUUAGAUAUUGUCGGUUUCCUUAUAUAGCAGAAUUAUCACAUAAAUUAAACAGAGUUUUUAUAGGAACUCAUGUAAGAUUAGCAUUUUAUAACAUCUUGAGAGUUAAUUCAAUCUAUUCUAAGUUAAAAGAUCCAGUAAAUAAACAACAACAAACUGGAAUAGUGUAUAAAAUACCUUGUUCGUGUGACUUAUGCUAUGUUGGACAAACUAGGCAGUAUUUGAGUAAUAGAGUAAAACAACACAUUUAUGAUUGUAAAAAUAUUAAUAUAUUAAAAGAGAAUAAAACAGCAUUAGCAACCCACCACUUUGACCAACAUCAUAAUUUUAAGUUUGAUAAGAUAGAAAUCUUGGAUAAAGAAAUGAAUUGGUGGAAACGUAAUGUUAGUGAAAUGAUCUUUAUAAAAACUAAUGAUACUGUGAACAAACGAACAGACACUAACAAUUUAAGUAUUUUAUAUAAUGAUAUAUUAAAAGAGUAUAAAUCUAAUAGAAAAAAAUAACCUUCAUUUCAGAUAUAUUUGAAUUUGAUACUUAGCGAGGUUUGCGCUAGUAUAAAAUAUUGUAAAGUAUAGUCUAUGUACUGAAGUUUCAAUAGUGGGCUAACCUUUGUCACGCAAUUAGCAAUUUUAUGUGUCGUGUUGGCUUUGUUUCCGGAAUCAAAAAAUAGUAAUUAAAUAAUUUAGUGGCUUUGUAGAUUUGUAUUAGUCUCUGAUGUCUGAGACAAUUGUGCAGUGUAUGAUAGAGAUUAUUUAAAUUCAUAUUAUGGUAAAUAUGGUAGUUUGGACAAUUGUUGUUUUUUGUAUUGUAGGUUAUCAAUUAUGUGUAAUUUUCAGAUGCCUGAUGAAGGUCUAAUAAAAGACCGAAACGUUGCUAAAAUAAUAAUGUAAUUUGUUAUAAUAGUCCUAUCUUGUCCACAUUCCUGAGAUACACGAAAAAUAUUUUAUAAUAAUUAUGGACGACAAUAUUGAUAAUAAUACUACAACUAGGUCAGUAAUGUGGGAGACAGAGAGGUUUGUUGAAGCUUACGUGUGUGUUUUUGUGUGCUUUAUUGUAGAAGUUUAUAGAACAUAUUAAGUGAACAAAUUCGAAUAUCCAUUGUUUAAAUUGCCUAAUGUAUGAUAUAUUUUUAUGCACAA